rnacentral:rRNA from 1 species
CCUACGGGAGGCUGCAGUGGGGAAUUUUGGACAAUGGGCGCAAGCCUGAUCCAGCUAUUCCGCGUGUGGGAAGACGGCCUUCGGGUUGUAAACCACUUUUGUAGAGGACGAAAAGUCUGUGGAUAAUACCGAUAGAUGAUGACGGUACUCUUAGAAUAAGCACCGGCUAACUACGUGCCAGCAGCCGCGGUAAUAAGUAGGGUGCGAGCGUUAAUCGGAAUUACUGGGCGUAAAGGGUGUGCAGGCGGUUUUGCAAGAUAGAUGUGAAAGCCCCGGGCUUAACCUGGGAAAGCCAUACAUGACUGCAAGACUAGAGUGCGUCAGAGGGGGGUGGAAUUCCGAGUGUAGCAGUGAAAUGCGUAGAUAUUUGGAAGAACACCGAUGGCGAAGGCAGCCCCCUGGGACUCAACUGACGCUCAUACACGAAAGCGUGGGGAGCAAACAGGAUUAGAUACCCUGGUAGUC